rnacentral:sRNA from 1 species
CAGUGAAAUAUUCCACUCCGCGGAAUGUGAAAUAUCCGACUUCGUCGGAUGUGAAAUAUUUGCCUUCGGCAAAUGUGAAAUAUGCC